UUGCAUUUGAAGCCCAUGAGGAUGAGAACCUCCGGGGGCGGGGAGGUUCGACUCGAGCGAAGCGAGAGAACGUUGCGCCAGCAACGGCCCGCAGGGCGAGCCAC
rnacentral:sRNA from 2 species